UCCCUAUAGCUCAGAUGGUAAAGAAUCUGCUUGCAGUGCAGAAGACCCAGGUUCGAUACCUGGAUUGGGAU
rnacentral:tRNA from 1 species